UUUUUCACUAUUUUUAUUAUCACAUAUUGUACUAUGUUACUAGAUGAACAUGAUUGUUAACCACUCUAUCAUUAAAAAUGAUUCAAUUCCUCUGUAGCGAAUUUCUAUCGGAAGAUGAUAUUAUCUCGAUGACAUAUUAUCUCCAUUGUCAUUAAACAAAAAUCACGUAGUCAAGCUAGUCCGCCAAAACCAAGCGUCGCAUCACAUAUCGUAUCACGUGAUGUAUUUUUUAAUGUGACAAUGAAGAUAAUGUGACGUCACAUAUUCUCCGAUAUAUUAUUUGCUAUAGGGGAAUAGAAUCACUUUUAAUAGUAGAAGGGAUAGCGUACCAUAUCCAUCCAGCAACUCUAAUUUUGUAUAUCAUGGAGCAGAACCUUGUUUUAUGAAUUCAAGUAAUAUAUUAAAUUUUAUUGAAGAAUAUCAAAAUAAUAAUAAAUAUCAACAAAAAUUAUUAUAAAAAAAAUAUGGCAUAAAACAAAUUCAAUUAGUUGCAGAAAAAUUUUUAGCAGAAGAAUAUUUAAAGAAAUAUACUAAAUCAUGUUCAAAUUGUUCAACUAUGAUUGAAAAAAUAGAUGGGUGUAAUAAAAUGAAAUGUAUUCAUUGCAAUGCUUAUUUUUGUUGGCUUUGUGGAUCAUAUAUAACAAC